AGGACUGACUGUGGAGGCGGUGGCAUGUGUACGCUCUCUCACCCAUUCCUAACCAGCAUCAGGACCACGCCUGCUCUGAGAAACAAGUCUGUUAUGGUGCUUGUUUCUAGGAUGGAAGCUUCUGAAUCUGGAGUCGGUGCCUUCCCCAGGACUGAGGGUGGGGCUGGCAUCCUGCUUUGUUGGUCGGGCUCUAUAGAAGAAAGGGUGCUAUUAUCACCCCCAUUUACAGAUGAGAAAACUGAAGCCAGAAACAUGGAACCCAUUCGCUGCUCAAGGUGACGAAGGUGGUAACUGGUAAAGCUAGGUAGAUUUCAAUCAGAGAAUUGUACCCCGUUAUGGUGCUAACACACAAAGGUAUCCAUCCAGUGUCCUGCCACUUUAGUUCCCCCAAUGGGAUAGCUAAGCCCCGUGGGAGUGGAGGCCGGGGGUGGGGAUCGACAGGAUUUAACCACUGAAGAGAAUGGGAUUCCUCUCACAAGUCAUUUCAGCUCUCGCAAUGUAUCUCCCACUUUGGUGUCUUCAGAGCGAUCCGCCUUAAACUGUCCCCUGAUGGGGAAAAGGUGUGAGGCAGCCUCAGAGGGACAGGGUUUAGACACAUUGCAGGGCCCUGAAUCUCAGCGUUGUUCUUUGCUACCUGGGAGAUCGUGGACAAGAUGCUGAACUCCUCCUAACUGGGAAAUGAAUUGAACGGUGCUCAUUCUACAGUUCCGGGAGGACACAGAGAGCUUGUUCUCAAAGCCCAGUUGGAGUAUGGGACGAGGGAUAAACCCAGACCGCUGUGUUCUAGGGUACAGCAGUCUCUAGAUGUGCGCGGUAGUUCUUAGUAACCCCUGAUCGACUGUGAGAACACGGAAGCUUGGAGGGGUCUGCGCGGUUUUAUACAAAGAAGAACAGAAAGAAAUGGGAGCUUUAACUGAUGCACAACCAUCCUAAUUUUCAUUUUUUGCACAUUUGGAUAUUCGUUUCAGCCAUAUACAAUCCUUAGGCCCUAUUAGUUAUGGAUGCUCCAUAUAAGUUUGUAGGUUAUAAAAGAUUUAAAAGAUCCCUGACUUCAAAAAAACCUCACCUUCCUUUGAGAAGACAGUUCCAACAGCCACAGGACACCCCGAUAUGUCUGCUGCACUUUUCCCACCAUCUUUGCUGUGACCCUGAGCUCUUAUUUUACCACCCAGCUUCAUCUUAGGAUUGUGCCACCUGCGCCACUGACCUGUGAGUCAUCUGCUUGUCUUAUUAUCACAUGCAUAAGACAGGCAUCGCCUGCCCCAACUGCUCCACAGUGUAACUGGUGACAUUAUUCUUGACACCCUUCAGCAUGCCACAGCCUGGCCAGUGGUGACUUGAAAGAAGAGGGAGGGGCACUACUAGAAGGUGUGACUUUGUUGGAGUAGGUGUGGUCUUGUUGGAGGAAGUGUGUCACUGUGGAGGCGGGCUUUGAGCCUCAUAUGUGCUCAAGCUACUGCCCAGGGUCUCAGACCACUUCCUGUUGCUUGCAAGAUGAAGGACUCUCAGCACCAUCUCUGCUUGCAUGUUGCCAUGUUGCACCAUGAGGACAAUGGACUGAACUUUGAACUGUAAGCGAGCCACCCCAAUGAAAUGUUUUCCUUUGUAAGAGUUGCUGUGGUCACGGUGUCUCUUCACAGCAGAAGAAACCCUGACUAAAACACCAACCCACCUGAGCACUGUGUGUGCUCAUGGCUCUUCCUUUCCCUCUUUUUACAAAAUUCUGCAUCUUGCCUUUCUUUUCUCUUCUUUCCCCCUUUCUUCCU